GGCUGUGUGGCUGUGCUACGAGAAAUCGCCUUUUCUACUACAUAACAAUUGGGUUCAUAUAUUUGUAAAUCUGACUCUGAAAAGGUCAGUGCCUCACCAGCCACGGGCCUCACUACACGUCUCUGAUACCUAUCUGAUAUAUCAGAGCCGACUCCUGAGAGCAGACGUAUCUGAAGCUGUCAGGGAGGAACCAUGGCUACCAUCUCUGAACCGGACCCUGGACUCUCUGAGGAACCUGGGGACGCGUCUUUGGACCGGAGGGAGCGCAGGAAGAGAAGAUUUGCUGGUAGAGCAAAGAAGAAGGCUAAGUCCAGACGCCGUGGAAGCCGUCAGAGAGUAACAAUGGUCACCAUCUCUGAACCGAACCCUGGGCUCUCUGAGGACCCUGAGGACACGUCUUUGGACCGGGAGGAGACCAGGAAGAGAAGAUUUGCUCUAUGGUUUCACAUCACUGUCAUUGUGAGCAUCGGACUGCUGAGUAUUCUUCUCAUCUCCCUGCGCUUCAGUGAGUCUAAAUCAUAUCCUCCUAAACAGAAUAACAAUACAGUAUAAUCAUAUCAUUGAUUGUAUUAAUUUAAUAGCAAUGAUAAUGUUAAAUAUUGUUUUUGUUAGAUUUAGUGAUAAUAAUAGGGUUAGCAUACAUACACCGCACACACGCACAUAAACACAGCAUACACACACACACAAACAAUCCACACGCACGUGCACGAACACACACGCACAUGCACACACACUGCACACACGAGUGUGCUGAUGCAGACGUUUCAAGACAAGGGCAGCGCAGGACACCGCAUACACACACCACACACACAUGCACACACGCACGCACACACAUGCACGUGCAUAAACUCACUGCACACGCGCGGAUGCAGAUGUUUCAAAACAACGGCAAGAUUGAGAUAACAGCCCCGCCGUCGACACACUCUCCCACCUGAGCCUUAUGUCCAUCAUAGACACUUUUUUGCAAAACGUUAUUUUUCUUUAAACAUUAUCCACCACAUUGAGCCUCCCGAAAUGUCUUGUG